UGGGGAAUUUUGGACAAUGGGCGAAAGCCUGAUCCAGCCAUGCCGCGUGAGUGAAGAAGGCCUUCGGGUUGUAAAGCUCUUUUAGUCGGAAAGAAAGGAUUGCAACGAAUAAUUGUGAUUUAUGACGGUACCGACAGAAAAAGCACCG
rnacentral:rRNA from 1 species